CUUGCUUCCCUUCUUCCCUGAUGCUUCCCUUGGGGUGGGGUGUCUGCAUGCACAGUGGCCUGCCAGCGCUUGGGAGGGGAGUACACACAGUAUGCAGUGUUUACUGGAGUUGUAGGCAUGCUCACUUGAGGCAUUCUUCCCUUAGCCAAAUGUCCGUAGGAGGUCGUAUACCAGUUAAACUAUGCCAUUUUGCCUCCUAAUGCACAUGCGUUGAGCCCAAUCGCUCAACUCCUGAGAGCUUAUCAAGAAGCUACUGAUCAACAGUUUCAGGUUUUUCCUAUCUAUAGGGAGCCUGCCUGUCCCUGGUGCCAGCUGCAAUCAAUUAUUAUUUUAGAGAGACAGUUAACAACCACCUGACCAUCACCUGAUAGCCUGACAGUCCAGGUUGGUGUGGGGGGGUGGAGCUUCUCCUGCCUUGUUCCUGCCUGACUAGCUGCCUACUUUAACAUUUUUAACGAUAAAGAAUGUGAGUUCCAUGAGGAAGAGGGCAGGGAUCUUGAUUUUGUUCCCUGCUGUAUUCCCAAGGUGUAGAAUGAAGACUGACACAUAGCAGCUGCAAAGGAACACCACAAUGAUAUUCCACUGGAAAAAGGGCCAAACCACCUGAUCAUAAGAACAUCUUAUCAAUAUCCUCCUGGGCAGCAAGCCAUACUGCCCAGCUCCCUCCCACCCAUACCUCAGCUGCAACCAGGAUCACCCCCAUUGCUGGACAUCACAUCCAACACUGGGCUUCAAUUCGUGGGGGCUCUUCGUCUUCUCCCCAUUGGUGCUGGAAGUUGGCUGUUCCAUGAUUCUGGUUGGUUGUAGAAUGUCUAUAGUAGGCUCCUGUAGACUGCAGACUUCCACAGCUAUGUUGAAGCUUCCCAGUGGGAUGUCCCAGAGCUCUUGCCCUCCCUAUAUAUACCCUCCUGGUGACAAGGCAAAGCCACACCCUUGAGCUUUGUUUGAUCAUACAGGCAGUGUCCCAGCCAAUGGCGGUCCUAAGGUGGCUUUGACAUCACAAAGCCCCACUGCUGACCACUCCUUGGGCUUGUGGGGGAGGGGUGACAGGGAUGUAGAGGAAACCAAAUGCGGUUGUUGUUUCAGCAUCCCCUGAAGAUGCAUCCCAAACCGAUCUGCCGCCGCUCCUCAUUUCUCCAUGUUUAAUGUUCAUGGUUCACAUGGAAGUCAGAGGAUGAUUCCUUCAAGCCCUUCCCCACAGCCAUUCCUAUGAAGUGAUUCAUUCUUUUGUCUUCCAGCCCUCACCAUGACUUAGUAUUUUAGAUGUCUCACCUCAAAUCCCCCAAGCUAGUGUGGCUACAUUUAAUUAUUAGUUAUUAAUUACUAGUUACAUUUAAUAAUUAAUAAUUAAUUAUCCCAUUUCCCUCCUACAGUUCCUUCAUAUGCACCUUGAAGACCAUUUACUUUUAGGCUACUGCCAGGCAAAUUUCAACCCAUGUUAUUUUACUCAAUGUCCGUGUAGUUCUUUUAAAUUUCCUAUUUCCAAUCUGCAAUAAUGGCCUUCAGUCUGUCAAAAUUUUAGUGAAUAAACAUUCUUUACUGUGUAUCCUAGUCUUGUUUCAAAUGAGGGGUGUAUUUUCAUAGUAAAUGUAGUCUCCCAACAUGAAUUCUGCCAGUAUGUGGGUGGGGGAAGGAGUGGAUAUUCAAGUGCUGGAAGUUGUUCUCAGUGUUUACAUGCAGGAUGCUACAAUCUAAGACCCACAUGUGCACCAGUAUGGGCAUAGUUAUACUUUGUACUGAAGAUUGUGUCCAGUGCAAAAAGAAAAAUGCAUUCAGUUUGG
rnacentral:lncRNA from 10 species